AGUCGAACGGUAGCACAGAGAGCUGGCUCUCGGGUGACGAGGGGCGGACGGGUGAGUAAUGUCUGGGAAACUGCCUGAUGGAGGGGGAUAACUACUGGAAACGGUAGCUAAUACCGCAUAACGUCGCAAGACCAAAGUGGGGGACCUUCGGGCCUCAUGCCAUCAGAUGUGCCCAGAUGGGAUUAGCUUGUAGGUGGGGUAACGGCUCACCUAGGCGACGAUCCCUAGCUGGUCUGAGAGGAUGACCAGCCACACUGGAACUGAGACACGGUCCAGACUCCUACGGGAGGCAGCAGUGGGGAAUAUUGCACAAUGGGCGCAAGCCUGAUGCAGCCAUGCCGCGUGUAUGAAGAAGGCCUUCGGGUUGUAAAGUACUUUCAGCGAGGAGGAAGGCGAUAAGGUUAAUAACCUUGUCGAUUGACGUUACUCGCAGAAGAAGCACCGGCUAACUCCGUGCCAGCAGCCGCGGUAAUACGGAGGGUGCAAGCGUUAAUCGGAAUUACUGGGCGUAAAGCGCACGCAGGCGGUCUGUCAAGUCGGAUGUGAAAUCCCCGGGCUCAACCUGGGAACUGCAUCCGAAACUGGCAGGCUAGAGUCUUGUAGAGGGGGGUAGAAUUCCAGGUGUAGCGGUGAAAUGCGUAGAGAUCUGGAGGAAUACC
rnacentral:rRNA from 1 species